rnacentral:rRNA from 1 species
UACGUAGGCAGCAAGCGUUGUUCGGAGUUACUGGGCGUAAAGGGUGUGUAGGCGGUUCUUUAAGUUUGGUGUGAAAUCUCCCGGCUCAACCGGGAGGGUGCGCCGAAUACUGAAUGACUUGGAGUGCGGGAGAGGAAAGUGGAAUUCCUGGUGUAGCGGUGAAAUGCGUAGAUAUCUGGAGGAACACCGGUGGCGAAGGCGGCAUCCUGGACCGGGAUUGACACUGAGGCGCGAAAGCCAGGGGAGCAAACGGG